rnacentral:rRNA from 1 species
GAUGAACGCUGGCGGCGUGCCUAACACAUGCAAGUCGAACGGACUAGAAUGAAACCUAGUGAUUUUUAGUUAGUGGCGGACGGGUGAGUAACGCGUGGGCAACCUGCCUCAUACAGGGGGAUAACACUUAGAAAUAGGUGCUAAUACCGCAUAAGCGCACGGAAUCGCAUGAUUCUGUGUGAAAAAACUCCGGUGGUAUGAGAUGGACCCGCGUCUGAUUAGAUAGUUGGUGAGGUAACGGCUCACCAAGGCGACGAUCAGUAGCCGGCCUGAGAGGGUGAACGGCCACGAUUGGGACUGAGACACGGCCCAAA